AUCGCUGUGGCGGAACAGCAGACGCGCCGGCCUCAAACCCCGGUGUCCGCGAGGGCGUGCGGGUGCGAAUCCCGCCAGCGAUA
rnacentral:tRNA from 1 species